rnacentral:sRNA from 1 species
CAGGGAACACAGCAGAUUUUAGUGCCAAAUUAAAUUGAUCAUUAAGGCGCUCUGUCGUCCUAAGGGAUACAGCCUAAGAGAUAACGGGCAAAUGAAACUAGCAGACUCUUAUUCUGAAAUAUAUUUUGUAAUGCAUGUACAUAUAGAAAUGUGAAUUGAAUAUGCAAUUUCAUUUGACAAAUAUUGAACCAGACAAUGAACACAUUUGAUGACAGAAAUCAUACCAGAACUGCAAACGAAUUCCUAAAGCCAGGACCUGAAGACAUUGCGACGGUCAAAACCAAAGCUAAGGCUGAAAUGGUGUCCAUCAAUGGAUAUUUUCUAAGUACAUGUAUCAACUAUGUUCUGUGGGAAGUUGUGAAUGCAACCCAGAAAGACGCACCCACCAGUACCCUAGAUGCCAGAGAAACGCAGAUCAAGUCUGUCCGAUGUGGAGAGAGGAGAGUUCUUGCAACCAUUGUUGGCAUUAUGGUAGCACGGAACAUUACAAGGCUCGAUGAUGUAAAGCUAAAACCAAUCUCCGACAAAGUGCUCUAGAGCCGGAAAACGGUCCAGGGGCCCCUGUUAGUACCCAUUCCCAAAUAGUUAAAGGAUAUGCUCAUCAUGUACUAACUUUCGUUAAAGGAUAUGCUCACCAUGUACAAUGGAAAGUUGUCAGUCUGAUUGGUUCUCACAGCCAGAGGAUAUCCCAAUAUACGCUUAUUAUACCAUGAGUCCAAGAGGUUAUUGAACCAAGAUAGCGACCUUACACUCGGGAAUGCUCUCAGCAAUAGUCGACAGUAUGAAAACUCGCAGAAACGCUAAAACGCAUUCGAGACAGUGAGGAUUAAACAGUUAACUAUCGUGCCUUACAAGUAGAUGCUACAAAGAAGAAAUUUUACUGGCAUAAACCCAGUCACAGAACAAAGAAACACAAUAGACGACCUUACAAUUUUUGCAGAGCGCAAAGUAGUAGAUAUGGGGUCGACCCCACAGAAAGCCUGGUAAAUUCAGGUCAGUGCCCGGCAGUAUGAACAAGAUGCAACUACUGGUACAAGAAUCAUUGGACAACCAUGUGCCUAAAACGUACAAGAAACACGAAAAGUUAAGGCACAACAGAAAACAUAGUAGUACCAACAUUAAACCUCAUUUAGUUGAUGAAGAUUAACCUCAUAUAUACAGUGCACAAGAGGACAGCCAUGUGGCCAACGACAAGAGAGUCUAAU